ACUCAAAGAAAAGUUGAUGGAAAAAGUGUUGAAUAACAAUAACAGUGGCUCCAAUGAUCAAUUUGAAGAAAAAGACUUAAUGAAAAAAAUUGGAAUGGUAUUUUUAAAAUAGGCCAUCAUGUAUGGAAGUUUAUGUUGAGGUUGUGUAUAGACAGCGCGACAAGCUAUCUUCCAAACAGAUGCUUGUCGAUUGACGCCUUAACAGUAAUUAGGAACGCCAAAGUCACGCAGAAUGUGAAAAAAAUAAAUUCUAUAUAUAAAAAUAAAAAUAAUCUAAUAAUAGUCAACCACAACUAGUUGAGAAAAUGAUUAUAUGAUUUAGCAUGGGUAAUCAUUUGAUUACCGAAAAGCACAUAAAAUGGAGAAAACCUAUGGUAGUGUGAAUCACAAAGCAUGGGUAAUUAUUUGAUUACCGAAAAGCACAUAAAAUGGAAAAAACCUAUGGUAGUGUGAAUCAUACUACGUAAUGCCACAAAUAUUGGCAUCCCAAUCCCGUUGGUCCUUCUUUAAGUAAGAAACUUAUGCCGUUCAGUUUGCUUGCGGAAUGUAUAUGGCAUUGAAGAUAUGUCUGAUUCCAUAUUUUGACAGGCUUUAGACUGUUUACAUGUUUCAUACCUAGCUAUAAAAUUUCUAACCUGCAAUGUCUGGGCGUUGGCGGGGAGGAGCUCGCCUUAGUCAAGGAACCCUGGAUCCACCAAGAAAGGGUGAGCGGACUAGGCACGAAAAGUUUUAAGCUACUGUACCAAAGAAGAUCUGUGAUAAAGACACCGUAGUAGCCACAUGGUAGACCAGUGUAGGUGCUAUAUUGGUAAUAUCCGCUUAUAUGGCUCACGACCACAGCGACCAACCACCAAACAAUUUGGUCCGCAGAUCUAUUGAGAUGGCUAAAUCUUAGGGAAUGCCGAUCAUCAUGGGGGCUGAUGCAAAUGCCCACCACACUGUCUGGGGAAGCUCGGACAUAAACGCUAGAGGAUCCGAACCGACCUUUAUUGUUGCAAACAGAAGGGAAGUUCUUGAUAUCACGCUAGAUGGUACUAUGCAAAAUGAUUGGAUCAGGGGAUGUCACGACUCGAACGACUGCACAUUCUCUGACCAUCAAUAUAUCGAUUUUGAAAUCGUAGCUAAUGUAGGGGUCAAAAGACCCUUUAGAAACAGGAGAAGAACAGACUGGGAACAGCAAUCUGCUUUAAUCUCACGUUCGCUCCAGAAUGUACCAAUUGUUGAGAG